CCGGUUAAUCCUGCCGGGACYCCCACUGCUAUCGGGAUAGGUACUAAGACAUUGCUAGUCGUGUGCUUCAGCCMAAAACGAAGCMCGGCAUACAGCUCAGUAACACGUGGCUAAUCUGCCCUUGGGACGAGAACAACCCCGGGAAACUGGGGGCUAACUCUCGAUAGGCGAAGAACUCUGGAAUGAGUCUUCACCUAAAUAGGUUCACGUUAUGCUCGUGGAUCUGCCCAAGGAUGAGGCCGCGACCGAUCAGGUUGUUGGUGAGGUAAUGGCUCACCAAGCCUUUUACCGGUGCGGGCCGUGAGAGCGGGAGCCCGGAGAUGGGCACUGAGACAAGGGCCCAGGCCCUACGGGGCGCAGCAGUCGCGAAAACUUUGCAAUAAGCGAAAGCUUGACAGGGCUAUCCCGAGUGCCAUCCGCUGAGGAAGGCUUUUACCCAGUCUAGAACGCUGGGGGAAUAAGGAGAGGGCAAGUCUGGUGUCAGCCGCCGCGGUAAUACCAGCUCUUCGAGUGGUGUGGAUGUUUAUUGGGCCUAAAGCAUCCGUAGCUGGCUAAGUUAGUCCCUUGUUAAAUCCACCGAAUUAAUCGUUGGAUUGCGGGGGAUACUGCUUGGCUAGGGGACGAGAGAGGCAGACGGUAUUUUCGGGGUAGGGGUGAAAUCCUAUAAUCCCGGGAAGACCACCAGUGGCGAAGGCUGUCUGCUAGAACGCGCCCGACGGUGAGGGAUGAAAGCUGGGGGAGCGAACCGGAUUAGAUACCCGGGUAGUCCCAGCUGUAAACGAUGCAGGCUAGGUGUUUGGACGGCCACGUGCCGUUCUAGUGCCGCAGGGAAGCUGUUAAGCCUGCCGCCUGGGGAGUACGAUCGCAAGAUUGAAACUUAAAGGAAUUGGCGGGGGAGCAC
rnacentral:rRNA from 1 species